UGCCUUUCAAGUUAAGAUACAUGUUAUACAAAGUCAAUACAUUUUUGGAGGUCCUAUAGAAUGUUGCCACGUUGUCGUAAUACGUGAAGUCUUGCUUGAGAAUGUUCCUAAAUAAACCUUAAACCAAAUCCUAACCAAAUCCUAAACAAAUCCUAAACCAAAUCCUAAUCCAAAUCCUAAACCCUAAACAAAAUCCUAAUCCAAAACCUAAAUAAAAUCCUAACCAAAUCCUAAACCAAACCCUAAAUCAAACCCUAAACAAAUCUUAAACCAAAUUCUAAUACAAACCUUAAACCCUAAAUCAAACCCUAACUAAAUCCUAAAUCCUAAAUCAAAUCCUAACUAAAUCCUAAAUCAUAAAUAAAAUCCUAACCAAAUCCUAAACUAAAUCUUAAUCCUAAAUCAAAUCUUAAUCUAAAUCUUAAAGCCUAAAUCAAUUCCUAUACAAAUCCUAAAUCCUAAAUCGAACCCUAAUUCAAACCUUAAAUCCUAAAUCCUAAACCAAACCCUAAUCAAAUCCUAA
rnacentral:lncRNA from 1 species